rnacentral:rRNA from 1 species
UACGUAGGGGGCUAGCGUUGUCCGGAAUCAUUGGGCGUAAAGCGCGCGUAGGCGGCCCGGUAAGUCCGCUGUAAAAGUCAAAGGCUCAACCUUUGAAUGUCAGUGGAUACUGCCGGGCUAGAGUCCGGAAGAGGCGAGUGGAACUCCUGGUGUAGCGGUGAAAUGCGCAGAUAUCAGGAGGAACACCAAUUGCGAAGGCAGCUCGCUGGAACGUAACUGACGCUGAGACGCGAAAGCGUGGGGAGCAAACAGG